rnacentral:rRNA from 1 species
UCUGCCCUCGAGACGGGGAUAAUCCCGGGAAACUGGGGAUCCUACCCGAUAGGUCUAGGAUGAUGGAAGGCUCCUAGGCCCAAAUCCUGCGGGGCUCGAGGAUGGGUCUGCGGCCUAUCAGGUAGUAGGGGGUUUCACGGACCCCCUAGCCGUAGACGGGUACGGGCUUUGGGAGAAGUCGCCCGGAGAUGGAUUCUGAGACACGAAUCCAGGUCCUACGGGACGCAGCANGCGCGAAACCUCCACAACGUGGGAAACCACGAUGGGGGAACUCCAAGUGUCCAGACUUAUGUCUGCACUGUUCUCGAGCCUAAAAAGCUCGAGAAGUAAGGAGCCGGGUAAGACGGGUGCCAGCCGCCGCGGUAAUACCCGCGGACCCGAGUGGUGCUCAUUAUUAUUGAGCCUAAAGCGUCCGUAGCUGGCCCGGGCCAAAUCUCCGGGGUAAAAUUCGGGCGGGCUUCAACCGUNCCGAAAAACCCGGAGAACACCUGCUCGGCCUUUGCGAUCGGGGUACAGNGGAUGAAGGUUCUCNCCCNGGGUU